rnacentral:misc_RNA from 1 species
CCAUCCCCUCAAGCUUCGCUUGGCUGGUUGGGCCAGCGUCCACUACGGCGGACGGGCCCGAAAGGCAGUGGCGGCUCCGGGGGACUUGGGUCCUCUGGGCGGUGAUGCAUGGGUCUCUUCAUCCACCGUCCCCUGGGUCACGCCCCGGGAGUCUGUCGAACGAUCGGUCUUCCCCUGUA